rnacentral:rRNA from 1 species
GAUGAACGCUGGCGGCGUGCCUAACACAUGCAAGUCGAGCGAACAGACGAGGAGCUUGUGCCUUUGACGUUAGCGGAGGACGGGAGUGUAACACGUGGAUCAUCCACUUAUCUGUCUGGGAAAAUCACGGGAAACCGGCGCAUAUCGCAGAUAAUAUAUUGAACCACAUGGUUCAAUAGUGAAAGACGGCUUUGGUGUAUGUAAUAGAUGCAUCCGGGCCGGAUUGGCUGGUUGGUGAGGUAACGGCUUACCAAGGCGACGAUGCGUAUCCGACCUGAGAGGGUGAUCGGCCACACUGGAACUGAGACACGGUCCAGACUCCUACGGGAGGCAGCAGUAGGGAAUCUUCCGCAAAGGGCGAAAGCCUGACGGAGCAACGCCGCGUGAGUGAUGAAGGUCUUCGGAUCGUAAAACUCUGUUAUUAGGGAAGAACAAAUGUGUAAGUAACUAUGCACGUCUUGACGGUACCUAAUCAGAAAGCCACGGCUAACUACGUG